UGCGAGGCCUGGAAACGGGCUCGCUCUGAGGGCGCCGGACACGGUGUCCGGUGCUGCUUGUAGUCACGUUGCUCGUCGGAGGAUGUGGUUAUGAGGA
rnacentral:sRNA from 1 species